UUUUGUUUUGUUUUGCUUAGUAUCUAUUUUAGAUAAUGAUAUAUUACAAGUUAUAAAACUGAUAUAUUACAGGUUUUCUACUGACCAAUAUGAGAAAGUACCAUUCUUUAUUUUUGGAGACUGUAAUUUUUGCCUAGAUACCAAAGAUGCAAUACAGAUUGAAUUUGAAGGUGAAACCACUGAUGGAAACUUUGCUCUUGAUGACGUCACCUUUUACGAUGGGAACUGUCAAACUCAUCCUGUAGAAGCAGCAGUGGAGCCCCCUCCAUCUGAGAAAUUCCAAGUGGUUUAAGAAACUGCUAAAAAAUGAAGAAAAAGGCCGCUUUUAAAAUACAGAAUAUUUCUAAUUAAAGCAAACAAAAAAAAUAUA